GCAGUCGACGAACUUCCGUUAAUUGAUUAUGACGUACUUGUACUGAUUGAGAUUUUAACACGAAGUGAGUGGCGAACGGGUGAGUAACACGUGGGUAACCUGCCCAGAAGUAGGGGAUAACACCUGGAAACAGAUGCUAAUACCGUAUAACAGAGAAAACCGCAUGGUUUUCUUUUAAAAGAUGGCUCUGCUAUCACUUCUGGAUGGACCCGCGGCGUAUUAGCUAGUUGGUGAGGUAAAGGCUCACCAAGGCAGUGAUACGUAGCCGACCUGAGAGGGUAAUCGGCCACAUUGGGACUGAGACACGGCCCAGACUCCUACGGGAGGCAGCAGUAGGGAAUCUUCCACAAUGGACGCAAGUCUGAUGGAGCAACGCCGCGUGAGUGAAGAAGGGUUUCGGCUCGUAAAGCUCUGUUGUUAAAGAAGAACGUGGGUAAGAGUAACUGUUUACCCAGUGACGGUAUUUAACCAGAAAGCCACGGCUAACUACGUGCCAGCAGCCGCGGUAAUACGUAGGUGGCAAGCGUUAUCCGGAUUUAUUGGGCGUAAAGCGAGCGCAGGCGGUCUUUUAAGUCUAAUGUGAAAGCCUUCGGCUCAACCGAAGAAGUGCAUUGGAAACUGGGAGACUUGAGUGCAGAAGAGGACAGUGGAACUCCAUGUGUAGCGGUGAAAUGCGUAGAUAUAUGGAAGAACACCAGUGGCGAAG
rnacentral:rRNA from 1 species